UACGUAGGGUGCAAGCGUUAAUCGGAUUUACUGGGCGUAAAGCGCCCGUAGGCGGCCUGACAAGUUGGACGUGAAAGCUCCUGGCUUAACUGGGAGAGGCCGUUCAAAACUGUCAAGCUAGAGUCUGGAAGAGGAGAGCGGAAUUCCCGGUGUAGUGGUGGAAUGCGUAGAGAUCGGGAGGACACCAGUGGCGAAAGCAGGUAACUGGACUAUUACUGACACUCAACUGCGAAAGCUAGGGGAGCAAACAGG
rnacentral:rRNA from 1 species